CCUACGGGAUGCUGCAGUGGGGAAUAUUGGACAAUGGGCGAAAGCCUGAUCCAGCCAUGCCGCGUGUGUGAAGAAGGCCUUCGGGUUGUAAAGCACUUUCAGUGGGGAAGAAAGCCUUGGGGCUAAUACCCUCGAGGAAGGACAUCACCCACAGAAGAAGCACCGGCUAACUCCGUGCCAGCAGCCGCGGUAAUACGGAGGGUGCGAGCGUUAAUCGGAAUUACUGGGCGUAAAGCGCGCGUAGGCGGUCUGAUAAGCCGGUUGUGAAAGCCCCGGGCUCAACCUGGGAACGGCAUCCGGAACUGUCAGGCUAGAGUGCAGGAGAGGAAGGUAGAAUUCCCGGUGUAGCAGUGAAAUGCGUAGAGAUCGGGAGGAAUACCAGUGGCGAAGGCGGCCUUCUGGACUGACACUGACGCUGAGGUGCGAAAGCGUGGGUAGCAAACAGGAUUAGAUACCCUGGUAGUC
rnacentral:rRNA from 1 species